AUCUGUUCUUAUCAGUUUAAUACCUGAUAUGUCCUUUAUUUGAGGACUAUAUAUUAAAUUGAUUUUUGAAACUGGGGGAUGGAAUAGGAGCUUGCUCUGUCCAACCCAUGCAUUGACCUGGUAUUGCAAUGACUCUGGGAACAGUGC
rnacentral:snRNA from 1 species